AACCUUUACACUGCACGACAGUGCGAUAGGGGGACACCGAGUGCGAGGGCAUAGAGCCCUCGCUUUUGUAGACCGUAAGGAGGUCUACGAAUAAGGGCUGGGCAAGACCGGUGCCAGCCGCCGCGGUAACACCGGCAGCCCAAGUGAUGGCCGAUAUUAUUGGGCCUAAAGCGUCCGUAGCUGGCCACACAAGUCCGUCGGGAAAUCCACUCGCUUAACGAGUGGGCGUCCGGCGGAAACUGUGCGGCUUGGGACCGGAAGAUCCGAGGGGUACGUCUGGGGUAGGAGUGAAAUCCCGUAAUCCUGGACGGACCACCGAUGGCGAAAGCACCUCGGAAGGACGGAUCCGACAGUGAGGGACGAAAGCUAGGGUCUCGAACCGGAUUAGAUACCCGGGUAGUCCUAGCCGUAAACGAUGCUCGCUAGGUGUGGCGCAGGCUACGAGCCUGCGCUGUGCCGUAGGGAAGCCGUGAAGCGAGCCGCCUGGAAGUACGUCUGCAAGGAUGAAACUUAA
rnacentral:rRNA from 1 species